UAAUACGGGGGGAGCAAGCGUUGUUCGGAUUUACUGGGCGUAAAGGGCGCGUAGGCGGCCAGCGCAAGUCAGUUGUGAAAUCUCCGGGCUUAACUCGGAAAGGUCAACUGAUACUGCGCGGCUAGAGUGCAGAAGGGGCAACUGGAAUUCUCGGUGUAGCGGUGAAAUGCGUAGAUAUCGAGAGGAACACCUGCGGCGAAGGCGGGUUGCUGGGCUGACACUGACGCUGAGGCGCGAAAGCCAGGGGAGCGAACGGGAUUAGAUACCCCGGUAGUCCUGGCCUUAAACGAUGGAUGCUUGGUGUCUGGAGUUUUAUAGUCUCCGGGUGCCGUAGCUAACGCGUUAAGCAUCCCGCCUGGGGAGUACGGUCGCAAGACU
rnacentral:rRNA from 1 species